rnacentral:rRNA from 1 species
AUACAAGCGAGCGGCGGACGGGUGAGUAACACGUGGGUAACCUGCCCAAGAGACUGGGAUAACACCUGGAAACAGAUGCUAAUACCGGAUAACAACACUAGACGCAUGUCUAGAGUUUAAAAGAUGGUUCUGCUAUCACUCUUGGAUGGACCUGCGGUGCAUUAGCUAGUUGGUAAGGUAACGGCUUACCAAGGCAAUGAUGCAUAGCCGAGUUGAGAGACUGAUCGGCCACAUUGGGACUGAGACACGGCCCAAACUCC